AUGAACCCUACCACGGCGCCGGGUCCUGACGGCCUUCCGGUUAAAUUCUUCCAGACCUUCUGGAACGUGAUUAAACCGGAGGUCAUGGCCAUCUUCGAAGAGUUCUACGUUGGAUCCAUCGACCUCGGACGCCUCAACUUUGGGAUCAUCUCUCUCAUCCCCAAGGUGCUUGGCGCUUCCGACAUCCGCCAGUUUCGCCCGAUCACGGUCAUUAACCUGAUUUUUCGGAUUCAGGCAAAAGGGUACGCCAAUAGGGUGACCCUUCUUGCUGACCGCGUUACUCACCCCAACCAGUCCGCCUUCAUCCAAGGCCGGUAUAUCCUGGAUGGGGUCCUUGUUCUUCAUGAAGUCCUCCAUGAGGUCCGCGCCAAACACCUCAAGGCGGUUUUUCUGAAGAUUGAUUUCCAUAAGGCCUAUGAUACUGUUAGCUAG
rnacentral:rRNA from 1 species